GAACGCGAAGAACCUUACCUACCCUUGACAUGCCAGGAAGCCCGCAGAGAUGUGGGUGUGCCCGAAAGGGAACCUGGACACAGGUGCUGCAUGGCUGUCGUCAGCUCGUGUCGUGAGAUGUUGGGUUAAGCCCCGCAACGAGCGCAACCCUUGCCAUUAGUUGCUACAUUCAGUUGGGCACUCUAAUGGGACCGCCGGUGACAAACCGGAGGAAGGUGGGGAUGACGUCAAGUCCUCAUGGCCCUUAUGGGUAGGGCUUCACACGUAAUACAAUGGUCGGUACAGAGGGCUGCCAACCCGCAAGGGGGAGCUAAUCCCAGAAAGCCGAUCGUAGUCCGGAUUGUAGUCUGCAACUCGACUGCAUGAAGCCGGAAUCGCUAGUAAUCGCGGAUCAGCAUGUCGCGGUGAAUACGUUCCCGGGUCUUGUACACACC
rnacentral:rRNA from 1 species